rnacentral:rRNA from 1 species
CCUACGGGUGGCUGCAGUAAGGAAUAUUGGACAAUGGAGGCAACUCUGAUCCAGCCAUGCCGCGUGAAGGAUGAAGGUGCUACGCAUUGUAAACUUCUUUUGAACGGGAGAAAACCUUUGGUCGUGUACCGAAGCUGAUAGUACCGUUAGAAUAAGGGUCGGCUAACUUCGUGCCAGCAGCCGCGGUAAUACGAAGGACCCGAGCGUUAUCCGGAUUUAUUGGGUUUAAAGGGUGCGUAGGCGGAAUAGUAAGUCAGUGGUGAAAUCCUGUUGCU